rnacentral:misc_RNA from 1 species
AUAAUUAGCUAUUGUUGAUUCACCUUGAUGCUGUAAUUUAUUUGUUGAUAAUGUAAUUUAUUUGUUGCCAUUUUCAUUCAUGUAAUUUAUUAGCUGAUUUUGUAAUUUAUUUGUUGCCAUUGACUUCCUUAUUUGUGGUCCACGCCUUAUAUAACCCUUUCCUAUGAAUGCAUCCGUAACAGUCACAAACUAGCUUGGCAACAAAGGUCAUAGACAAUACCAUAGUUCCUUCUAAUUCUAACAAUUGUAAAUGGGUGAAGAUUUCAAUAAUCUCCUCCACUUCUCUCCUUUUCCAAUGACAAUUGGAAUAAGACAUUACUUAUGUGAGCCUCAAUUAACUAAAUCCAUUCAAUGGAUGAGACUAAUUUCAAAUUAGUUGUGGUCAAACUUG